AUGCUGCUCCUCACCUGCUCCUGGAACAUGGGCUUUCCUCAGGCCCUCGGGGCGCCCCUUCCUUGUCCUCCUCAGAGGCAGUUGUACCAUUCAGGUCAGGCCCCCUGGCGAGGUCUCUCUGUGGGGUCUCCGGGGUCAGGAGCAAGAGGGAUCCGCCACGUGUUGGAGGCAACGGGACUGGGCCACGGAUACCCUGACCCAAAUUUCUCGCUUGUGGUCAUCCCCUCCCUUGUCUUCCCGCAGGACCCAGCCCUGGCUGCCCCCUGCCCCGCCCCCGCGGCCCGCCUCGCGCCCCGCCCCACAGCCCCCAGGGCGCAUAGCUCCACUAUCUUCCCCUGGUCCAUGCUGGUCGCCAGGCGAUCGUUCCUUUCCCGCAGGCGGCAGAGGCUGAUCCCUCCGGGCCCUUCUGCUCCCUCCAGCGGGCUGCCCUCACCUCUGCUCUCCCGCCAACCCCUACUCCCCUGUCGCCCCCCCGCCCCCACCCCUGCUCUUAAACCCUCCGGAGCGUCCUGGGGACGAAGCGCCUCCGCGUCGGGAACAGGGACUCCGCACCUCGGAGGUAAGCCGGCGGCGGCGCUCCUAGUCCUGGGCUCCGGAGCCUUUGGAGACCCCGGCUGCUGCCGCUUCCCUGCCGCUCCAUGCGACCCGCACCCCGCGGCUUCCUGGGGUGCGGGCUGCUGCCCCUUCUCUGCUGAUCCGCGCGACCCGCACCCCGCGGCUUCUGGGAUGCGAGCGGCGGCAGGCUUAGGCGCCUUUACCGGCUGGGUUUCACACGCAGCGCAGCAGCGGUGGCAGGUGCAUCGCAGGGCAGGUCGGGUCGGCGGGGCCCCUGGUCUCAGGGCACCCAGAUGUACCUGGAGCCGUGGCCUGGAGGACAUGCUGCCUGCCCCGCGAAGUUUCCAGGGAGGAAGCUGCUGUCUCUGGAGGCAACUGGGCUGUGCAGGGCGGGCUGUGUCCCUUCCUGGAAGGGGGCUUGGGAAGUUGUGUCACGCAGGGACCUGCUUUCUGGCCAGGUGUGUGCUACUCCCCGGGGAUGGAGCACCCAGGAGAGAAAAAUGGGGAACCCCCACCCUGUUGGCAGCUUCUUACCUUCCUGAAGUAGGUGGGCGGUCCAGUUCCAGUGGGCGUUGA
rnacentral:lncRNA from 1 species